rnacentral:rRNA from 1 species
AUGAUUUAAUAAAUUUUAUAAAAAACUAGGAUUAGAUACCCUAUUAUAAAAAUUUAAAUUAUAAAAACUUAAAUAGUAAUUAAUUAUUUAUUGAAAUUUAAAUAAAAUGGCGGUAUUUUAGUUCAUUUAGAGGAAUCUGUUUAAUAAUUGAUAAUCCACGAGUAAAUUUACUUAUUUUAAAAUUUUGUAUAUCGUUGUUAAGAAAAUAUUUAUUUAUAAAAAUAAUAUUUAAGAUUUAAAAUUAGAAAUUAAAUCAAAUCAAGAUGCAGAUUAUAAAUAAGAAUAUAAUGGAUUACAAUAAAUUUAUUUAGAUGGAUUUUAAUUUGAAAAAUUUAAUUAAAAGUGGAUUUAAAUGUAAUUUUAUUUAAAUUGAUAAAAUGGUUUUUAAUUAAAAUAUGUACAUAUUGCCCGUCGCUUUCAUAUGAAAUUAUAAAUUUUUAUAAUAUAAAUUGAAAUAAGUCGUAACAAAGUAGAGGUACUGGAAAGUGUUCCUAGAAAGAA